GACGAACGCUGGCGGCGUGCUUAACACAUGCAAGUCGAGCGGUAAGGCCCCUCGGGGUACGACGAGCGGCGAACGGGUGAGUAACACGUGAGCAACCUACCCUUCACUUCGGGAUAAGCCUCGGAAAACGGGGUCUAAUACCGGAUAUCACUCACUACUUCAUGGUGGUGGGUUGAAAGUCUGGCGGUGGGGGAGUGGGCUCGCGGCCUAUCAGCUUGUUGGUGGGGUAAUGGCCU
rnacentral:rRNA from 1 species